rnacentral:rRNA from 1 species
AGUGAACGCUGGCGGUAGGCCUAACACAUGCAAGUCGAACGGCAGCACAGUAAGAGCUUGCUCUUACGGGUGGCGAGUGGCGGACGGGUGAGGAAUACAUCGGAAUCUACUUUUUCGUGGGGGAUAACGUAGGGAAACUUACGCUAAUACCGCAUACGACCUACGGGUGAAAGCAGUGGAUCUUCGGACCUUGCGCGAUUGAAUGAGCCGAUGUCGGAUUAGCUAGUUGGCGGGGUAAAGGCCCACCAAGGCGACGAUCCGUAGCUGGUCUGAGAGGAUGAUCAGCCACACUGGAACUGAGACACGGUCAAGACUCCUACGGGAGGCAGCAGUGGGGAAUAUUGGACAAUGGGCGCAAGCAUGAUCCAGCCAUACCGCGUGGGUGAAGAAGGCCUUCGGGUUGUAAAGCCCUUUUGUUGGGAAAGAAAAGCAGCAGGUUAAUACCCAGCUGUUCUGACGGUACCCAAAGAAUAAGCACCGGCUAACUUCGUG